AUUGAACGCUGGCGGCAGGCCUAACACAUGCAAGUCGAGCGGGGUUUUCGGACCUAGCGGCGGACGGGUGAGUAAUGCGUAGGAAGCUGCCCGAUAGAGGGGGAUACCAGUUGGAAACGACUGUUAAUACCGCAUAAUGUCUACGGACCAAAGUGUGGGACCUUCGGGCCACAUGCUAUCGGAUGCGCCUACGUGGGAUUAGCUAGUUGGUGAGGUAAUGGCUCACCAAGGCGACGAUCUCUAGCUGGUUUGAGAGGAUGAUCAGCCACACUGGAACUGAGAAACGGUCCAGACUCCUACGGGAGGCGGCAGUGGGGAAUAUUGGACAAUUGGCGCAAGCCUGAUCCAGCCAUGCCGCGUGUGUGAAGAAGGCCUUCGGGUUGUAAAGCACUUUCAGCGAGGAGGAAGGGUGGUGUGUUAAUAGCACAUCAUUUUGAUGUUACUCGCAGAAGAAGCACCGGCUAACUCUGUGCCAGCAGCCGCGGUAAAAC
rnacentral:rRNA from 1 species